UACAGAGGGUGCGAGCGUUGUUCGGAAUUAUUGGGCGUAAAGGGCGCGUAGGCGGCGCCACAAGUCACCUGUGAAAACUCUGGGCUCAACCCAGAGCCUGCAGGCGAAACUGUGGUGCUGGAGUAUGGGAGAGGUGCGUGGAAUUCCCGGUGUAGCGGUGAAAUGCGUAGAUAUCGAGAGGAACACCAGUGGCGAAGGCGAGUCCCUGGACAACACCUGACACUGAGGCACGAAAGCUAGGGGAGCAAACAGG
rnacentral:rRNA from 1 species